rnacentral:rRNA from 1 species
UACGGGGGGGGCAAGCGUUGUCCGGAUUUAUUGGGCGUAAAGAGCUCGUAGGCGGUUUGGUAAGUCGGGUGUGAAAUCUCCACGCUCAACGUGGAGGGGCCACUCGAUACUGCCAUGACUCGAGUCCGGUAGAGGAGUGUGGAAUUCCCGGUGUAGCGGUGAAAUGCGCAGAUAUCGGGAGGAACACCCAUGGCGAAGGCAGCAAACUGGGCAUUAUCUGACGCUGAGGCGCGAAAGCGUGGGUAGCAAACAGG